GACGUAGGGCGCGAGCGUUGUCCGGAUUUAUUGGGCGUAAAGAGCUUGUAGGCGGUUUGUCGCGUCUGCUGUGAAAAUCCGGGGCUCAACCCCGGACUUGCAGUGGGUACGGGCAGACUAGAGUGUGGUAGGGGAGACUGGAAUUCCUGGUGUAGCGGUGAAAUGCGCAGGAUAUCAGGAAGAACACCUAUGGCGAAGGCAGCUCUCUGGGACGGUACUGACGCUGAGACGCGAAAGCGUGGGGAGCGAACAGG
rnacentral:rRNA from 1 species